UGCAGUCGACGCUUUUUCUUUCACCGGAGCUUGCUCCACCGAAAGAAAAAGAGUGGCGAACGGGUGAGUAACACGUGGGUAACCUGCCCAUCAGAAGGGGAUAACACUUGGAAACAGGUGCUAAUACCGUAUAACACUAUUUUCCGCAUGGAAGAAAGUUGAAAGGCGCUUUUGCGUCACUGAUGGAUGGACCCGCGGUGCAUUAGCUAGUUGGUGAGGUAACGGCUCACCAAGGCAACGAUGCAUAGCCGACCUGAGAGGGUGAUCGGCCACACUGGGACUGAGACACGGCCCAGACUCCUACGGGAGGCAGCAGUAGGGAAUCUUCGGCAAUGGACGAAAGUCUGACCGAGCAACGCCGCGUGAGUGAAGAAGGUUUUCGGAUCGUAAAACUCUGUUGUUAGAGAAGAACAAGGAUGAGAGUAGAACGUUCAUCCCUUGACGGUAUCUAACCAGAAAGCCACGGCUAACUACGUGCCAGCAGCCGCGGUAAUACGUAGGUGGCAAGCGUUGUCCGGAUUUAUUGGGCGUAAAGCGAGCGCAGGCGGUUUCUUAAGUCUGAUGUGAAAGCCCCCGGCUCAACCGGGGAGGGUCAUUGGAAACUGGGAGACUUGAGUGCAGAAGAGGAGAGUGGAAUUCCAUGUGUAGCGGUGAAAUGCGUAGAU
rnacentral:rRNA from 1 species